rnacentral:rRNA from 1 species
CCUACGGGGGGCAGCAGUGAGGAAUAUUGGUCAAUGGGCGCAAGACUGAACCAGCCAAGUAGCGUGAAGGAUGACUGCCCUACGGGUUGUAAACUUCUUUUAUAAAGGGAUAAAAUGAGGCACGUGUGCCUUUUUGUAUGUACUUUAUGAAUAAGGAUCGGCUAACUCCGUGCCAGCAGCCGCGGUAAUACGGAGGGUCCGGGCGUUAUCCGGAUUUAUUGGGUUUAAAGGGAGCGUAGAGGGGUUGUUAAGUGAGUGGUGAAAGUUUGCGGCUCAACCGUAAAAUUGCAAUUGAUACUGGCAGUCUUGAGUACAGUUGAGGUAGGCGGAAUUCGUGGUGUAGCGGUGAAAUGCUUAGAUAUCACGAAGAACUCCGAUUGCGAAGGCAGCUUACUAAACUGCCACUGACAUUGAUGCUCGAAAGUGUGGGUAUCAAACAGGAUUAGAUACCCGUGUAGUC